UUUUUUCUGGGGCAGGAAGUAAGUGCCCAUCAGGACAAAAGGCCUUAUCUACCACUUUCUUGUCAUGCUUUCUUUUCAAUCUUUUCCUUUUGAUUUCUUUCCCCCUGUUCUCUUUUGACACUGAACAUUUUUCCUUUUUAUAUUAUCAUGAUCCCUUUAUGAUAUCAAACUGAACAAGAUAAAUAUUAUAAUCACUAAAUCUCCCAUACCUAAAAGGACAUCUGAUCCAGAUGAGGGAUUCUUUUAUCAUGUAGUGCUUUGAACUAUCUCAAAUAUAGGCACCCAGACCAAACAGAAUAGAAGCCCACAACAAAACAGAAAUGUAUGCAAAGAAGCUCACAUGUGGUUGCUGGAAUAUUUACAGCAGCUAACAGAUUAACCUGUCAUACAGCAACUUGACAACUCCAGGGUUGGCAAAUGCUGAUAUGCAAAUAUGCUUUAAAUGUAUCUACAAAUUCUAACCAAA
rnacentral:lncRNA from 1 species